rnacentral:rRNA from 1 species
GACGAACGCUGGCGGCGUGCUUAACACAUGCAAGUCGAACGGAAAGGCCCUGCUUUUGUGGCGUGCUCGAGUGGCGAACGGGUGAGUAACACAUGAGUAACCUGCCCUUGACUUUGGGAUAACUUCAGGAAACUGGGGCUAAUACCGGAUAGGAGCUCCUGCUGCAUGGUGGGGGUUGGAAAGUUUCGGCGGUUGGGGAUGGACUCGCGGCUUAUCAGCUUGUUGGUGGGGUAGUGGCUUACCAAGGCUUUGACGGGUAGCCGGCCUGAGAGGGGGACCGGCGACAUUGGGACUGAGGUACGGCCCAGACUCCUACGGGAGGCAGCAGUGGGGAAUAUUGCACAAUGGGCGGAAGCCUGAUGCAGCAACGCCGCGUGCGGGAUGACGGCCUUCGGGUUGUAAACCGCUUUCGCCUGUGACGAAGCGUGAGUGACGGUAAUGGGUAAAGAAGCACCGGCUAACUACGUG